rnacentral:lncRNA from 10 species
GGUGCUGGGAGAGAGAGUCUAUGCUGAUCCCAGUGGAUGCCAGGAGUUAAGACAGAGCUGAGAGUACAUGGAGAGCAAAGUGUCUAGAUUUUUCAGGACCAAGUAACCAAGACAAGAGGGCUACAAGGAAAAAGAAUGCUGGCAAUCUACAGAGCAUCUCUAUUCAGUAUUCAGAAGAGUAUUGAUUACUGCAUAUGGCAUAUGUAUGAGGAAACUGCCCAAGCACAGAAAAAUAACCAACUGAAAAGAUCAAAAGGAAUAGUGCUCAGGAUUGCACAGCGACAAAAAUAGAACCAGCCAGACCAGAAAAACUCAUAAUUUAUGGAUCAUUAAGUAGAACACUCAGAAAUACCAUUCCUCACUAGUGACAACCAACCCCCAAAUAUGUGAAUCAGGC